AGUGAACGCUGGCGGCAGGCUUAACACAUGCAAGUCGAACGCACCGCAAGGUGAGUGGCAGACGGGUGAGUAACGCGUGGGAACCUUCCCUUUGGUUCAGGAUAGCUCCGGGAAACUGGAAUUAAUACUGGAUAAGAUCUACGGAUGAAAGAUUUAUCGCCGAAGGAUGGGCCCGCAUAAGAUUGGCUAGUUGGUGAGGUAAUGGCUCACCAAGGCAAUGAUCUUUAGCUGGUCUGAGAGGAUGGUCAGCCACACUGGAACUGAGACACGGUCCAGACUCCUACGGGAGGCAGCAGUGAGGAAUAUUGGACAAUGGGCGCAAGCCUGAUCCAGCCAUGCCGCGUGAGUGAUGAAGGCCUUAGGGUUGUAAAACUCUUUUAGUAGGGAAAAUAAUGAUGGUACCUACAGAAAAAGCUCCGGCUAACUUCGUGCCAGCCGCCGCCGUAA
rnacentral:rRNA from 1 species